UACGGGAGGCAGCAGUGGGGAAUAUUGCACAAUGGGCGCAAGCCUGAUGCAGCCAUGCCGCGUGUAUGAAAAAGGCCUUCGGGUUGUAAAGUACUUUCAGUCGUGAGGAAGGUGUUAAGGUUAAUAACCUUAGCAAUUGACGUUAGCGACAGAAGAAGCACCGGCUAACUCCGUGCCAGCAGCCGCGGUAAUACGGAGGGUGCGAGCGUUAAUCGGAAUUACUGGGCGUAAAGGGCACGCAGGCGGUUAAUUAAGUUGGAUGUGAAAUCCCCGGGCUUAACCUGGGAAUGGCAUUCAAGCUGGUUAGCUAGAGUCUUGUAGAGGGGGUAGAAUUCCAUGUGUAGCGGUGAAAUGCGUAGAGAUGUGGAGGAAUACCGGUGGCGAAGGCGGCCCCUGGACAAAGCUGACGCUCAUGUGCGAAAGCGUGGGGAGCGAAACAGGGAUUAGAUACCCGUCUGGAGAACGGGCCAAAGGGCCACGACCAAGGGGGAAUAAGGG
rnacentral:rRNA from 1 species